AAAUACUCUUUUCUGGGCAUGCUUUUAUGCCUCUCUAUAGUGGACAAAAUUGUAGAAUGUCUGACAAGAAAUCUUGCUUUCUCAAAACUCGGAAGUGAAGAAUGAUAAGUCGGUUCUCAAAUGGAUUCUCCAACCACACUGCUUGGAAGGUAUAAUGGUACAUUGACUGCCAAAUAAACAUUUGUUGUAUUGUUAUCAUCUUGUGAGCAUGUUGCAGCUUCAUAUUUGGGCAUACGAUUUAAGCAUGAAUUUUGGCAUGGAAGUGGUUGAUAAAUAUAAUAAUAGGCACAAUUGUAAUUAUAAAUCUUAGGACAUGACCCGUUAUCGUACAAAAUUUAAAAUUGCUGACUGUCUCGCUAAUAUUGCAAGCGUAACAUUAUAUUUUCCUAAAUUCAAAGUUCUUCUCAUUUUUUAGGGGGGUGUGGUGUUCCUUUCACCACCUCGAGGAGGUCCAUUGUAUAAAGCAAAAGAAAGUUUCACUCUUGACUUGCUGAAGCCGAAAGAUGGGUAUGUGAUGAAGUUUGUCGAAGGUUUCUUGUCAAUGAAAGAAAUUG
rnacentral:lncRNA from 1 species